rnacentral:tRNA from 1 species
AAAUAUGAAGUAAAAUUUACAUUUAGUUUCGACCUAAUCUUUGGUACCAUUACCCUUAUUUA